rnacentral:lncRNA from 1 species
UACCCGCCCUGUAGGGUAGGUGCUGCCCUUAUCAAGCACACUGAUGUUGCAUAGGGUUUGUUUUGCUUCUUCCUUCUCUGCAGAGGGGAAAAGAGUUGAAGCCUACAAAGUCCAAAGGCAGUGAGGUGCCACACAAGAAGAAAACGAAAAGAGAGAAGAGUGGAACUGAAGAAGGCUUCUCUGAGAGCUGCCGCUGCACGUGCAGAGUCCUCCACAAUGAACAGCCUUGUGGAGAUGAUGCAGAAGCUGCAACUGAAGGACUGAGAAGAAGAGCAUCAGAAGGCAGCAGCUGCAGUGCGUGGCGUUACAGGGCAGUGUUCCAAGUGCCGCCCAACUUGGCACUCCAAGUUUGGUUGUAGUCAAUAAAAAACAGUCACAAUUAGAGACUGACA